rnacentral:rRNA from 1 species
GAUAUGGCACAUUGGGGGAAACCCUGAUGCAGCGACGCCGCGUGAUCGAAGAAGGCCUUCGGGUCGAAAAGCGCUGUUUCGAGGGAAGAUACUGACGGUACCUCGGGAGGAAGCCCCGGCUAACUACGUGCAAGCAGCCGCGGUAAUACGUAGGGGGCAAGCUUUAUCCGGAAUCACUGGGCGUAAAGGGUGCGUAGGCGGCCAAUAAAGCCAGAGGUGAAAGGCUACGGCUCAACCGUAGUAAGCCUUUGAAACUUAUUGGCUUGAGUGAAGGAGAGGAGAGUGGAAUUCCUAGUGUAGCGGUGAAAUGCGUAGAUAUUAGGAGGAACACCAGUGGCGAAGGCAACUCUCUGGACUGUAACUGACGCUGAGGCACGAAAGCGUGGGGGGCGAAC